UACGUAGGGUGCGAGCGUUAAUCGGAAUUACUGGGCGUAAAGCGUGCGCAGGCGGUUUUGUAAGUCUGACGUGAAAUCCCCGGGCUUAACCUGGGAAUGGCAGUGGAAACUAGGCGACUUGAAUCUGGCAGAGGGGGGUGGAAUGCCACGUGUAGCAGUGAAAUGCGUAGAGAUGUGGCGGAACACCGAUGGCGAAGGCAGCCCCCUGGGUCGAGAUUGACGCUCAGGCACGAAAGCGUGGGGAGCAAACAGG
rnacentral:rRNA from 1 species